UCGCGACACAAUCAAAACGCCAGUUACCGCCAUUUUGGAUCAAUAGACUUGCCUCCUCAGGUUUCCCCGACUGCCUGACAGUCGCGUGUAAUUAUUUAACAGAUAAGCAAUAAUGUAUUUAAGGCGCGCGAGCCCCGCAAGUCCAGUCAGCCGUGAAGUAAGUAAUGGGCGUGAGUCGCUCGAGCGAAUGGGAAUUGAUACAGAUACUACAAAGCGAUGAUUCAAAAGAGAUUACCAAGGCUUCUGAUUUUUCAUUGAUGUUACCAAUUAUGUCACGCUACCGUGAAUGGGAUUUAUCCUGCAAAGUAUAUGUCGGUAAUCUGGGUAGCAGUGCCAGUAAACACGAGAUCGAAAGUGCAUUCAGCAAGUAUGGACCUCUAAGAAAUGUUUGGGUUGCAAGAAAUCCACCAGGGUUUGCAUUUGUUGAAUUUGAAGAUCCUAGAGAUGCCGAAGAUGCAGUCAGAGGGUUAGAUGGAACACGCUGUUGUGGGACAAGAGUAAGAGUAGAAAUGUCUUCAGGAAGAAGUCGUCGCGGUGGUGGAGGACGUAGACCAGGCCCGCGAUACUCGAGAUCCAGAUCCCCAUCUCCACGAAGGAAGUCCACAGGGCGUUAUCCCAGGUCAUUGUCGCGCAGUCCACGGGGGACGUCAAUUGACCGCUUCUCUAGAUUCUACCAGAGUCAGCUCCUAGCUCUGCUCGUCUCCCCGCCACUACUACUUCUGCUACUUCUACUACUACAGCCACCGUGAAAAAAAAAAAAAAAAAAAAAAACAAAAACAAAAACAAAAUCUAGCAAUCAAAUUGAAAAAAAUUGCCUGCCUGCCCACUAACCUCCCAACCAGUCACCAUCAGUCACCACCAGUCACCACGGCUAGGAGUCAAGUCGUCCGACAGUCCGUAGCUGUCCGUCAGUUCCCCUACAAAAAGACUUCUUUGGGCUACCUUCGCCUCUAGGAGCUAGGAAGCAUCGUGACCCACCGAUCAGCCAACGCGAUACGAAUACUUCUAUCAAAAUAUCGGCGCGUCCGUUCGUCAGUCCCAACUUCUACUACUACUACUGCUACUACUACUCGUCCACCGUCACGAAUUAACUUAGCUGACAAUGCGUCCGCCAGUUCUCUUCGACCGAGCAAAGCAAUAUGAUCACCACCUACACACCAUCCCACCACCACCCAACCAACUACCACCACCAACCACCACCACCACCACCACCACAUGUUCACAGUUGUCUGGUCAAGGUCACGCAGCCCAAGAAGGAGGUCACUUACCAGAAGUAGAAGCCGCGAUCGUCGCUCACGUUCCGACUCUCGCGACAGACGUUAGGUCCUAAAUGUUCGAGAAAGGACGGACUUAAAAAUCCCAAGAAGAAGAAGAGCAAAGCAUUCUUUGUACAUUAAUUGAAUCACAUGUUCAAAAAGAAAC
rnacentral:misc_RNA from 1 species